AUGUUCAUUAUGCAGUGUUAUUGGUGGAAACUAAAUGGAAAAGAGUAUACUGAGUUAAUGGAUUACAAGAGACUGAAUCUGUUUAAAAGAGAAGGGCUGAAACCAAUUUCCUUUGGAGUAGCAGAAGUCAUAGCAGAGGUAGAUGAAAUCAAUUUUUCCCCCUGGCAAUUGCAUGUUACCACAUCUGUAGUGGGUUUGAUCACUAGGAAAAGCUAG
rnacentral:lncRNA from 1 species